rnacentral:rRNA from 1 species
UACGUAGGGUGCAAGCGUUAAUCGGAAUUACUGGGCGUAAAGCGUGCGCAGGCGGUUAUGCAAGACAGAUGUGAAAUCCCCGGGCUCAACCUGGGAACUGCAUUUGUGACUGCAUGGCUAGAGUACGGUAGAGGGGGAUGGAAUUCCGCGUGUAGCAGUGAAAUGCGCAGAUAUCGGGAGGAACACCCGUAGCGAAGGCGGCACUCUGGGCCGGAACUGACGCUGAGGAGCGAAAGCGUGGGGAGCAAACAGG